rnacentral:snRNA from 1 species
GUGCUCGCUUCGACAGCAGAUACACUAAAAUUGGAACGAUACAGAGAAGGUUAGCAUGGUCCCUGCACAAGGAUGACACGCAAAUUUGUGAAGCGUUUCAUAAAAAA